AUCGCUUCUUGGCCUUUUGGCUAAGAUCAAGUGUAACAUCUCAUUUAAAAACUAGUUAUGGCAUGAAAGACAGUUCCAGUUCUGAUUUUACCUUUUACAUCUAUAGUUAAUAUGUAAAUGAACAAGAUGAAGCUGU
rnacentral:snRNA from 1 species